rnacentral:rRNA from 1 species
UACGUAGGGUGCAAGCGUUGUCCGGAAUUAUUGGGCGUAAAGAGCUCGUAGGCGGUCUGUCGCGUCGGAUGUGAAAAUCCAGGGCUCAACCCUGGACCUGCAUUCGAUACGGGCAGACUAGAGUUCGGCAGGGGAGACUGGAAUUCCUGGUGUAGCGGUGAAAUGCGCAGAUAUCAGGAGGAACACCGGUGGCGAAGGCGGGUCUCUGGGCCAAAACUGACGCUGAGGCGCGAAAGCGAGGGGAGCAAACAGG